CCCUAACUUACAAUCACCGAACCCAUGAGGUCACCCUAUCUCCCAGCCCUCCUUCACCAGAUACAGGCAGAAACCCUCAAGCCAGCUGAGCAAGGCUUUACGGAGGCAAGGGAGUUAGCCAUAAGACUAUCUGUGGUUGAGCAUUCCAGGCAGGCAGCAGCAAGAGCCACCACGAAGGCCAGAAGGCAGGGUCAUGCCUGGCUCGCUCCAGCAACACGAAAAAGGGGUGGAGUGUGGAGAGCCAAGCAAAAAAGAUGAAGUCACAUAAGUAGCAGAAGACCCGGUUGUACAAGGCCUGGUGUGCCACCGUAAAAACAUGGACUCCUCCUCGGAAAUAUGGAGCCACUGGGGGAGUUUGAGCAGGGGAAGAAGAUCUAACAAAGAACUUUCACACUUC
rnacentral:lncRNA from 10 species